CGGACGGGUGAGUAACGCGUGAGAAUCUGCCCUCAGGAGGGGGAUAACGGCUGGAAACGGCCGCUAAUACCCCAUAUGCCGCGAGGUGAAAUGAGAAAUCGCCUGAGGAUGAGCUCGCGUCUGAUUAGCUAGUUGGUGGGGUAAGAGCCUACCAAGGCAUCGAUCAGUAGCUGGUCUGAGAGGAUGAUCAGCCACACUGGGACUGAGACACGGCCCAGACUCCUACGGGAGGCAGCAGUGGGGAAUUUUCCGCAAUGGGCGCAAGCCUGACGGAGCAACGCCGCGUGAGGGAUGAAGGCCUCUGGGCUGUAAACCUCUUUUCUCAAGGAAGAAGAACUGACGGUACUUGAGGAAUAAGCCACGGCUAAUUCCGUGCCAGCAGCCGCGGUAAUACGGGAGUGGCAAGCGUUAUCCGGAAUUAUUGGGCGUAAAGCGUCCGCAGGCGGUCUUGAAAGUCUGUUGUUAAAGCGUGGAGCUCAACUCCAUUUCAGCAAUGGAAACUAGAAGACUAGAGUGUGGUAGGGGCAGAGGGAAUUCCCGGUGUAGCGGUGAAAUGCGUAGAUAUCGGGAAGAACACCAGUGGCGAAGGCGCUCUGCUGGGCCAUAACUGACGCUCAUGGACGAAAGCCAGGGGAGCGAAAGGGAUUAGAUACCCCUGUAGUCCUGGCCGUAAACGAUGAACACUAGGUGUCGGGGGAAUCGACCCCCUCGGUGUCGUAGCCAACGCGUUAAGUGUUCCGCCUGGGGAGUACGCACGCAAGUGUGAAACUCAAAGGAAUUGACGGGGGCCCGCACAAGCGGUGGAGUAUGUGGUUUAAUUCGAUGCAACGCGAAGAACCUUACCAGGGUUUGACAUCCUGCGAAUCUUUUGGAAACAGAAGAGUGCCUUCGGGAGCGCAGAGACAGGUGGUGCAUGGCUGUCGUCAGCUCGUGUCGUGAGAUGUUGGGUUAAGUCCCGCAACGAGCGCAACCCACGUCUUUAGUUGCCAGCAUUGAGUUGGGCACUCUAGAGAGACCGCCGGUGAUAAACCGGAGGAAGGUGUGGAUGACGUCAAGUCAUCAUGCCCCUUACAUCCUGGGCUACACACGUACUACAAUGCUACGGACAGAGGGCAGCAAACUCGCGAGAGCUAGCAAAUCCCAUAAACCGUGGCUCAGUUCAGAUCGUAGGCUGCAACUCGCCUACGUGAAGGAGGAAUCGCUAGUAAUCGCAGGUCAGCAUACUGCGGUGAAUACGUUCCCGGGCCUUGUACACACCGCCCGUCACACCAUGGAAGUUGGCCAUGCCCGAAGUCGUUACUCCAACCCUUGUGGAGGAGGACGCCGAAGGUGGGGCUGAUGACUGGGGUGAAGUCGUAACAAGGUAACCGUA
rnacentral:rRNA from 1 species